AAAAAUUAUUAUUAUAUCUAACAAGCAACGGCCGUGCGCUACAAAAAAAAAAAAAACAUAAAAUAAAAUAAUGAUGAAGUGGUGCAGCUCACUGAAACGGGGAGCAAAAGAAGUAAGGCUUAUUUCAUCCGUCAAAUUUCUGUCUUUUCCAGGAGGAAGAUUCGGGAGGCCGGACUCAACCCUGACAGGUCGAGGUCAACGGUUACCGAAGCAGAACGACGUGGAGCUCUUGCUUUUUGAGGCGUUCAGAUAUUCUCUGAUUCUCCCCGGCGUUUGUAACUCAAUACUCCGUCCGUCUGCUGCGGGCUGCACAGGGGAGACCACACUGACUAACGUCUCGAUUCAGCAGAAUAAACAACGUUAGUGUUGAGGAGGAGACGUACUGUCUGGGGUUUGCCAACGGCACCUGCUGUGCCAGGUGGACGCAGCUUGGGAAGAAGAAAGAUGGACACGAGGGACAGAAGGACGCAGACAGAAAGUAGCAAAGUAGGACAUAAGCUUGGCAAAGAAAACUAAG